UCGAGAAUUUUUCUCAAUGGGGGAAACCCUGAAGGAGCGACGCCGCGUGGAGGAUGAAGGUUUUCGGAUUGUAAACUCCUGUCAUUGGGGAACAAUUGUGUGGGGAGUAACUGCCCCGCACUUGAUAGUACCCGAAGAGGAAGAGACGGCUAACUCUGUGCCAGCAGCCGCGGUAAUACAGAGGUCUCAAGCGUUGUUCGGAUUCAUUGGGCGUAAAGGGUGCGCAGGCUGUGGUGUAAGUUGGAUGUGAAAUCCCGGGGCUCAACCCCGGAACUGCAUUCAAUACUGCUCCGCUAGAGGACUGGAGAGGAGAUUGGAAUUCACGGUGUAGCAGUGAAAUGCGUAGAUAUCGUGAGGAAGACCAGUGGCGAAGGCGAAUCUCUGGACAGUUUCUGACGCUCAUGCACGAAGGCCAGGGGAGCAAACGGG
rnacentral:rRNA from 1 species